rnacentral:rRNA from 1 species
UACGUAGGGCGCAAGCGUUGUCCGGAAUUAUUGGGCGUAAAGAGCUCGUAGGCGGUUUGUCGCGUCUGUCGUGAAAGCCCACGGCUUAACCGUGGGUCUGCGGUGGAUACGGGCAGACUAGAGGCAGGUAGGGGAGAAUGGAAUUCCCGGUGUAGCGGUGAAAUGCGCAGAUAUCGGGAGGAACACCAGUGGCGAAGGCGGCUCACUGGGCUCUACCUGACGCUGAGGCGCGAAAGCGUGGGGAGCGAACCGGG